rnacentral:rRNA from 1 species
UACGUAGGGUGCGAGCGUUGUCCGGAUUUACUGGGCGUAAAGAGCGCGCAGGCGGUCGUUCAAGUCGCGUGUGAAAGCCCCCGGCUCAACUGGGGAGGGUCACGCGAUACUGAUCGACUCGAAGGCAGGAGAGGGAAGUGGAAUUCCCGGUGUAGUGGUGAAAUGCGUAGAUAUCGGGAGGAACACCAGUGGCGAAGGCGACUUCCUGGCCUGUUCUUGACGCUGAGGCGCGAAAGCUAGGGGAGCAAACGGG